rnacentral:rRNA from 1 species
UACGGAGGGUGCGAGCGUUGUCCGGAAUCACUGGGCGUAAAGGGCGCGUAGGCGGCGCGGAAAGUCGUCGGUGAAAGCUCGGGGCUCAACCCUGAGUCUGCCGGUGAUACUCCCGCGCUCGAGCUCAUUAGAGGCAGAUGGAAUUCCGGGUGUAGCGGUGGAAUGCGUAGAGAUCCGGAAGAACACCGGUGGCGAAGGCGGUCUGCUGGGGUGAGGCUGACGCUGAUGGCGCGACAGCGUGGGGAGCAACAGG